rnacentral:rRNA from 1 species
ACUCCUACGGGAGGCAGCAGUAAGGAAUAUUGGACAAUGGGCGGAAGCCUGAUCCAGCCAUCCCGCGUGCGGGACGAAGGCCCUCUGGGUCGUAAACCGCUUUUGCAGGGGGAGAAACGUGCGGUAUCUACCGCACCUGACGGUACCCUGCGAAGAAGCACCGGCUAACUCCGUGCCAGCAGCCGCGGUAAUACGGAGGGUGCGAGCGUUAUCCGGAAUCACUGGGUUUAAAGGGUGCGCAGGCGGCGUGCUAAGUCAGGGGUGAAAUCCCGCGGCUCAACCGUGGAACUGCCCUUGAUACUGGCAUGCUCGGAUGGGCGCGAGGCGGCGGAACGCGGCAUGUAGCGGUGAAAUGCAUAGAUAUGCCGUAGAACACCGAUUGCGAAGGCAGCUGGCUGGGCCUAUAUUGACGCUGAGGCACGAAAGCGUGGGGAGCGAACAGGAUUAGAUACCCUGGUAGGUCAGU